ACAGUUGUUGAAAUCAGAGGGGAAGGUGAAUAUCGAAGCUAAGGCUGGGGUGAAAUUGGAAAUACCCAAUGGAGCUGUAGUUGCAAACAAGGUGAUCAAUGGUCCUCAGGACAUCUAAGGAAACUGUUUGUCUUAAAUUUGUCUUGGAGAGUGUACACAUCUAAAAACACUGUAACGGGUCCUAUUUUGAUCGUGCACAUUAAGUAUUUGAUAGAAUAAGAGGACCAUUUUGUUUGCAAUGACACUCUUAUUUGAAAUAUUGCAAGUUUUAAUGGCUA